AGUGAACGCUGGCGGUAGGCCUAACACAUGCAAGUCGAACGGCAGCACAGUAAGAGCUUGCUCUUACGGGUGGCGAGUGGCGGACGGGUGAGGAAUACAUCGGGAUCUACGUUUUCGUGGGGGAUAACGUAGGGAAACUUACGCUAAUACCGCAUACGACCUACGGGGGAAAGCAGGGGAUCUUCGGACCUUGCGCGAUUGAAUGAGCCGAUGUCGGAUUAGCUAGUUGGCGGGGUAAAGGCCCACCAAGGCGACGAUCCGUAGCUGGUCUGAGAGGAUGAUCAGCCACACUGGAACUGAGACACGGUCCAGACUCCUACGGGAGGCAGCAGUGGGGAAUAUUGGACAAUGGGCGCAAGCCUGAUCCAGCCAUACCGCGUGGGGGAAGAAGGCCUUCGGGUUGUAAAGUCCUUUUGUUGGGAAAGAAAAGCAUCAGGUUAAUACCCCGCUGUUCUGACGGUACCCAAAGAAUAAGCACCGGCUAACUUCGUG
rnacentral:rRNA from 1 species